AUGGGAAUAUCACUACUGGACGUUGACAUGGGUACAGCCCAGAUACAAAACUGCCCCCUCACCCGGAGGGCCGGCCUCUGUUCCGGUGUAACGCACCGCCUUCCCUCUGGCCACACCCAUCACAUCCCAGGGCCCGGAUACAAAUCAGCUCUCCGUUUCCACGUUCUUUCACCUCCAGAACAAUAUAUCAGUGGGUGGCGAACCAUGGCACAUGUGCCACAGCAGGCUGUUUGUAUCAUCGAAAGCUCUAAAAGCAAUUUCCCAAAGAAAAAUUAUGCAGCUCAACUCCAGCAAACAUGUAACAAGGCUUUCAUCACUACUGGAAGAGUAAAUCUGUUCACUUUUUCCAGAAAAUAAUUUGUUGGAUUGUAUUAAAA
rnacentral:lncRNA from 1 species